rnacentral:rRNA from 1 species
UACGGAGGGUGCAAACGUUGCUCGGAAUCAUUGGGCGUAAAGCGCGCGUAGGCGGCUGAACAAGUUGGAUGUGAAAGCCCUGGGCUCAACCUAGGAUGUGCAUUCAAAACUGUUCGGCUUGAAUCUCGGAGGGGGUCAGAGAAUUCCCGGUGUAGAGGUGAAAUUCGUAGAUAUCGGGAGGAACACCAGUGGCGAAGGCGCUGACCUGGACGAUGAUUGACGCUGAGGCGCGAAAGCGUGGGGAGCAAACAGG